AGUGCCACAGAAGGGUAUAAGCCAAAUGCUUGGUCUGAGAGUUCAAGUGCUGCUGUCAAAAAAGAACCUGCUCAGGAAAAAAAGCUCUCUGAGAUUUUAGAUCUCAAUCCAUUUGAGUUCCAUAAAACUGAGUUUAUAGUCACUGUCGCUGUAAAGAAGAUCGGCAGCAACUGGUGGUACAAUGCGUGCAAGAAAUGCAUGAAGACAGCAAAACACCAUGGUGAUUCCUACAAGUGCACAAAUGCUAAGUGCAACAACAUUGGGAUACCCAAUCCAAGGUUCAAGUUAUCCAUACUUGCUGGUGACGACACAAAUGCUGCUGAGUUCAUUCUGUUUGGGAGGCAAGCUCAGCGACUGACAAAGAAAUCGGCUGACACCCUUAUGGCUAAAAACCCAACUGACUUCAUUCUAGAUGAGAUUACAAGGCUGCUUGAGAAGACGUUCACAUGGAUAGUCAGUUUUACUGAUAGCACCACAGAUUCCGACACCAUAACACUCCAAACCAACACAGUGGUUGGAGAAGUCGGUCAAGGAGGCUCUAUCAUUCCAGCCAUGCCAGCCACAUCCCAAACAUCCUCACUCAUGCUGUCAGAAGGUGCCACCACCAGCGUGCAUGGCGCUUCUCACCAGAACCAGGCUCUUCCUAAGUUACCACUUGCUGCCUGCUCUGUUGAUAGCCAUGCCUCCAAUGCCUCCCUGGUCAGGCCUGCCUUACUUGCAUCUGAUGCGCCGCAGACUCCACAGAGUGUGAAGAGCACAGCAAAUUACAAGGACAAGUCUGAAAAUCCUGCUGUGAAGCCUUCUAAGAGUGCUCUGGUGUCAUAGAAGACAUCCACUAGGAAAAGGUCCCGUUCAACAAGCAAAGGAAACGUGGCUAAGAAACUCCUCAUUGAUGAUGAGGCCGAGGAAGACGACGGUGGCAACAGCAGGGGUGCGGCCUCUGCUGAUCAGCAAAGCCCCAGCAAGGAAGCAUGAGCAGACAGGCUCGUGCUCAUUUUGCCGCUCCAUGUUGCAGCCAACUUUUGGGUGUCUUUAGUCUGCGUCGACGCAUCAUCUUCGUCGGCAUGUGCCUGCAACAUGUGUAGCGUUUUGGUUAGGUUUCUCUUCCAAAGACAAUUCAAGUUAGUAUCAAAAGCUACCGGCUAGGCUGCUUGGUAGCUACUGAUACUGGUUAUACCAUUUAUGGUGAUCGGAUGUGCUCUAGCUAUGAUGUCCUUGAUGCCAGACAGAUGCCAAAAAAACGGUAGGAUAGUUAGGUGAUCGGAUGUGCUGUAAUCUUAUGUUUCAAAUUGCCGGACGGACACCUCAGAUCUUAUCGGUAGGGUAGCCCAGCUGAAUGAAUGUGCUGUAAUAUUCAUCGUUUAAGUGCCGAACAAACACAUAGGCAAUGUGGAUGCAUGUGUUGUGAUGUUAAUCGUCUAAAUGCCAAACAAUCACCUUCGAUUAUAACUUC